rnacentral:lncRNA from 1 species
AAUAAAGAUAAACUUGAUAAUAUAGUUUUAUUUGUAAGAUUUAAUAAACUAUAUAAAUUCUACAUAAAACUGGUAAAAGUAUGAUUUAUACUUUAAUUUCUAGUAACAUUAAUAUAAUCUAUUUUAACAGUUUGGUGAGUGAGCGUUAAUGAUUUUAUACUUCUUUAAAGUUAAUACAAGUAAAUAUUUGAUUAACCAGAUUUAAGGAUAGAUAACUCUGAUUAUUCUAAUCUAGCAGUAUAAAUAAGGUUUCUAUGAUUUUAAUAUUUUGUCUUCAGGUUAUAUUAUUGAAACAGAAUGUAAACUGAUUCAAAUCAAUCAGUUGGUGAAAAGGCCUUUGCACUACAUGUGAGGUAUGUUUAUAUGUAUACAGUUUGUAUUGUUCAUGUUACUUUUAUGUUGCUUUGCUUAAAUGUAUUGUCUGCUUUGUGUAACUGUUGCAAAAACGGAAUGUCUUGUUUUUGCACUUACAAUUGCGUGUUAUUAUUAUGUUAAACUAACUAUUUUUGGUAUGAUACUACAAGCGUAGCUAUGUAUUAGCUGUGAACUUAGUCUGUCGUUGCAUAUUUCACAAUGCACUAAAUACAGAGAAAUAUAGAAUGUACUUAUUUUUCGGAAUGGUGUAAUAUCGUUUUGUGUAGCUUGUAAAACUAUUAUUUUAAGGGCAAAGGAAAUCUACAGUUUUCUUCUAUGCAUAUAGAUAUAUUGAUUUUAUAGUAAUUGAUAAUUACUACUGAUUGAAUUGUAUAAGAAUUAUAUUGUUAUUAUUUCAGGGUCAUUUUUGUUAGAAUAUUAACAUCAAUUCUGAUGAAAUAAAGAACCUAAGACCUAUCAACGUGUUUGUGUUUAUUUAAAUACAUGGGAAGCACGACUACAUUUUGGCGCCCAACGUAGAUUUCAUCAGUGUUAUUAAAGAUCAACGAUUUCCAUUACCUGUGGAGGGAACUCCGUUAUUACAUAAUAGACAUUAGUGUAUCGAUACGUCACAGGAAGUGGUACGUCACUGGUCGACAUACGUAUAUUGAACUUUGUGUUUACAUCCGGAAGUCAAGAAAUAGGACGUCAACAACACGGAUUUUCAGUGAAAAU